CCUACGGGUGGCAGCAGUGAGGAAUAUUGGUCAAUGGGCGUAAGCCUGAACCAGCAAAGUCGCGUGAGGGAUGAAGGUUCUAUGGAUCGUAAACCUCUUUUAUAAAGGAAUAAAGUGUGGGACGUGUCCUGUUUUGUAUGUACCUUAUGAAUAAGGAUCGGCUAACUCCGUGCCAGCAGCCGCGGUAAUACGGAGGAUCCGAGCGUUAUCCGGAUUUAUUGGGUUUAAAGGGUGCGUAGGCGGCCUGUUAAGUCAGCGGUGAAAGUCUGUGGCUCAACCAUAGAAGUGCAGUUGAUACUGGGAGGCUUGAGUAUAUUUGAGGCAGGCGGAAUGCGGGGUGUAGCGGUGAAAUGCUUAGAUAUAACGCAGAACCCCGAGUGCGAAGGCAGCCUGCCAAGCCAUGACUGACGCUGAUGCACGAAAGCGUGGGGAUCAAACAGGAUUAGAUACCCGAGUAGUC
rnacentral:rRNA from 1 species